UGCGUAGGCGGCGCGGUAAGUCGGGUGUGAAAUCUCGGAGCUUAACUCCGAAACUGCAUUCGAUGCUGCCGUGCUUGAGGACUGGAGAGGAGACUGGAAUUUACGGUGUAGCGGUGAAAUGCGUAGAUAUCGUAAGGAAGACCAGUGGCGAAGGCGGGUCUCUGGACAGUUCCUGACGCUGAGGCACGAAGGCCAGGGAGCAAACG
rnacentral:rRNA from 1 species